CAGCUUGCUUGGCAUUGAGCUUGGUGGGUUGCUACUGGUUGGGUGUCUUCGGGGAUGUCUACCGUAAAGGUGCAUGAGUGGUGUUUGGUUUGUUAUGGGUGGUUGGCUCUUUGCUUGCGCAACAACUUCUACCCGGCAUACCUCUUCAGUCUUGUGUCAAUGCUUGUAUUGCAUUGAAUGCACUGUGGGUUUCUUGUGUUGCAUGCCUAAUUAAUGGUAUCGCUUGAUGAAUUGGUAUUCCUUUCGUCUUGUGUCACCUAUGCGAUGUGAGAUGAACCUUGAAGCAACCUUUGUGAUCCACUCUUUUGAUGCAUACGCAUUGAUUUUGUGGCCCAUUGAGUGUUGCUUGGUCUCAUGGAUAUGGAACCUGGUGUGGGCAUGGAAUCUCACUGGUUCCUUGUUUGCCUAACUUUAGCUUUUCUAAAACGAUUGUCUAUCAUGUGUUAACGUGGUAAACAGCUCGAAUAUGAAUG
rnacentral:misc_RNA from 1 species